rnacentral:snRNA from 1 species
GUUCUUGCUUCGGCGGCACAUAUACUAAAAUUGGAAUGAUACAGAGAUUAGCAUGGCCCUUGCAAAA